rnacentral:rRNA from 1 species
GACGAACGCUGGCGGCGUGCUUAACACAUGCAAGUCGAACGGAAAGGCCCUGCUUUUGUGGGGUGCUCGAGUGGCGAACGGGUGAGUAACACGUGAGUAACCUGCCCUUGACUUUGGGAUAACUUCAGGAAACUGGGGCUAAUACCGGAUAGGAGCUCCUGCUGCAUGGUGGGGGUUGGAAAGUUUCGGCGGUUGGGGAUGGACUCGCGGCUUAUCAGCUUGUUGGUGGGGUAGUGGCUUACCAAGGCUUUGACGGGUAGCCGGCCUGAGAGGGUGACCGGCCAAAUUGGGACUGAGAUAGGGCCCAGACUCAUACGGGAGGCAGGAGUGGGGAAUAUUGAACAAUGGGCGGAAGCCAGAUGCAGCAACGACGGGUGCGGGAGGACGGCCUGCGGGUUGUAAACCGCUUUCGCCUGUGACGAAGCGUGAGUGACGGUAAUGGGUAAAGAAGCACCGGCUAACUACGU